rnacentral:rRNA from 1 species
CCCUCUGUCCCUAUCUACUAUCUAGCGAAACCACUGCCAAGGGAACGGGCUUGGAAAAAUCAGCGGGGAAAGAAGACCCUGUUGAGCUUGACUCUAGUCUGGCACUGUAAGGAGACAUGAGAGGUGUAGCAUAAGUGGGAGACGGUAUCCACUCCGUCGCCGGUGAAAUACCACUACUUUCAUCGUUUCUUUACUUACUUGGUUAGGCGGAAGGCGUUCGUCGAGGGUAUUACACCCCGGCGGUACGGUCUUCUCGCACCAAGCGUUCAAGGGUUGCCACCGGCCAGAAGUGCGGGAUAGCGUCGGUGAGUCGUGUAACCCGGCUUGCCGGGCCACGGCCCGGCGUCGUCCUUAGCGCUCUCUGAUCCCGAGGGCAAGCACUCCCUAGCGUGAUCCGAUCCGAGGACACUGCCAGGCGGGGAGUUUGACUGGGGCGGUACAUCUGUCAAAGAAUAACGCAGGUGUCCUAAGGCCAGCUCAGCGAGGACAGAAACCUCGCGUAGAGCAAAAGGGCAAAUGCUGGCUUGAUCCCGAUGUUCAGUACGCAUAGGGACUGCGAAAGCACGGCCUAUCGAUCCUUUUGGCUUGAAGAGUUUUCAGCAAGAGGUGUCAGAAAAGUUACCACAGGGAUAA